AUUGGGUUUUCGGUUUGUCUGCCAGGUUCCGUUACACAUAUUAUGACAAAACACACGGAGCAAUUUACAAAUCAAUCGAGGCGCUGGAUAAAAUGGGUAUGGACAUAAUCGAAACGGGUGAUCCAGAUGCAUUUAAACAGUAUUUGUUGGAGACUGACAACACCAUUUGCGGACGCCAACCAAUUAGUGUUUUCCUCCAUAUGUCAAAGAACUGCUCGGCAAAGAUAAAGAUUAGAUUCGUUCGUUAUGAGCAAUCGAGUCAGUGCAAAAACAUGAGAGACAGUAGUGUGAGCUAUGCAUGAGCAGCAGCCACCAAGGUUGAUGGUUGAACAUUAUAUGCUGCAACCUAUGAUAUGAACUAUGUCAACCUGACAAUGUUAUCUCUAACAUAUGUAUCCUUGUUAUGGAUUCCUUGUCAAUAAAUGUUGACUCUUUGUACUAAUGCUGACUGAUGAAUCCCCUUUGGUUUCCUUAUUUUGAUUGUGCUUUGUGCUAUGCUCCUUACCCUCUUCACUGAUGUUUGAAUGCCUUUUGUUCAUGCAAAUAGUUUGUGCCUUACUACAUACAGGAUUGAUGUAUAUGUAUAUAUUU